GACGAACGCUGGCGGCGUGCUUAACACAUGCAAGUCGAACGAGGAUUAUUGAGCGGAAGGCUUCGGCCGGAAGGUUGAUAAUUCGAGUGGCGGACGGGUGAGUAACGCGUGAACAAUCUGUCCCAGACAGGAGGAUAACACUUGGAAACAGGUGCUAAUACCGCAUAAGACCACAGAAUCGCAUGGUACAGGGGUAAAAGGAGCAAUCCGGUUUGGGGUGAGUUCGCGUCCGAUUAGCCAGUUGGGGGGGUAACGGCCCACCAAAGCGACGAUCGGUAGCCGACCUGAGAGGGUGAUCGGCCACAUUGGAACUGAGAGACGGUCCAA
rnacentral:rRNA from 1 species